AUAAAUCUUACACUAUAGGAGACUGACAUAGAUUAGAAAGAAAAUUUUGUACAAUAGUGAUCGCUUAGAUUUGUAAAGAUUUUAUUUCAUUUUCCUACCUUUGGAAUGUGUUAGAAUUGUCCAUCUGAAUGACAAAUUCAUUCAGGAACAAAUUAUUUGUUAUAAUUUCAUUCUAAUCAUAAUCAUAAUGAAAGAAUACAUUCAACAACUCAAUUGGAUCCUAUAUGCUUCUAUUUAUAUACUAUAAAUUUGGUGAUUCCUUGGAAAAAAAAAUUAUGAAACAAUAUCUAAAUUUCCUUGGUUUUUUAUAAUGAUGAGAUAAGGGUAUGUGCUGUAAGCAGUAUCGAGAUCGAAUAUUCCUGCAAAUUUCUCUGACAUAAUAACACAUUCAGCCAAACUAUAUAGUGUAUAAGCUAUCUUGGAUCAAAGCUCACAAAUUUUUACUUGUCUUGUGCUUCUAUCCACUGCUUUUUCAUCUAGGCAGAGAAAUUAAGCUAUAAUAAAAAUGAAAGCUCCUCUAACUAUUCCAAGUCCCAUGAGAUUCAAUCAUCAAUUUAGUCUUACACAGACCUAACGUCUGAAAGCAAGCUUGUGAUGAUUAUAAAUUCUAUAUAACUAUUGGGAAAGACUCAAGUUCCACGUUGAAUAAAAAUAAGAUCCGAUUAGAGUUUGUAAAGAGUGACGCCCCUCACCUUACAAGUCGGUUUUGUAAAGUUGAGUUAAGUUCAACCCAAAUUCUAAAAAUUGCCAAUUGCACUCUAGAAAAAAUGUUUUUACUUUUAACAUUUUUAGUUACUGUUUAUCUCAAAUGUGUUAUUAUUUAUCACUGUUUGUUAUGAAUGGUGUUGUUAUUUAUCAAAACUUGCAUGACAGAACUCCAUAUACAACAAUUUAUCUUAACAUACUUUAUUUUGGCAAUCCUUUGAUCGAAGGAAUACGAAACAUACUCUCUUAUAAUUAGUGGAAGCCUGAUAGGAAAUCAGAGAAAAGGGUUGCCGCUAAUGACGUGCUUUCUGUUAACAUUUUUUACGACAAGUCCAUCUGAAGAGCACGGAAAGUCCUUGUGAUCGUGAUCUUCACUACAUUCUUCAAACAUCACAAGAAACAUGCAAAUCACAGAUUAAUUGGUGACUAACAUUGGUUUAUCUGAUCAAUUAUUGGGAAUUGUGAGACCACCCAUUGGAUGACAAUAACCGAAUUCCUCUUCAGCUUGGCUAAGCAAUUCUUGAAAUAAAGGCUCAUUCAAGAAUGAUAUUGGAAUCAUGAACCUUCGCAUUUUCUCUCCAACAUACACCGCAAGAUGGCCUUUUGGGACUUCCACUUGUUUGUUAGAUGAUUGACUUGCACUAAAUGAUGAUCGUCUAAUAGCAGCUAUUAGACGGGCUUCAUUCAGCAGUAGUCAAACAUCAAAAGCAUUGAAUGUGCCAAAGGGCUAUCUUGCAGUGUACAUUGGAGAGCAAAUGAAGCGGUUUGUUAUCCCCACGUCAUACUUGAACCAAGCUUCAUUUCAAAACUUGUUGAGUCAAGCCGAGGAAGAAUUUGGAUAUGACCAUCCAAUUAAUGGGCGGCAUCACAAUUCCCUGCACAGAAGAUGUUUUCUUGCAUAUUACUUCUCGCUUCAAUGGGCUAUAAAUCUUACACUAAAGGAGACUGACAUAGAUUAGCAGAGAAAUUUUUAUAGAUUUUGUUUCAUUUUUCUACCUUUGGAAUGGGUUAGAAUUAUCCAUCUAAAUGACAAAUUCAUUCAGAACCAAAUUAUUUGUUAUUAUUUAUUUCUAAUAAUAAUGACAGAAUCCAUUCAAUAACUCAA